UAGAGCUGUUUCUGUUUUAAAUUCCUCAUCAGAAAGGUUAGGUGGAGCAAGGGUAGUUGCAACAGCUGUAGUCCCAGAUGAUGUAGGGAAAAUCAAAGAUGUUAUCCAGAGAUGGUUUGAUAUUGACGGAAUGGAUCUCAUCCUUACCCUUGGUGGCACUGGCUUCACCCCAAGAGACAUUACCCCUGAAGCUACAAAAGAGUUGAUUCAGAGGGAAGCACCUGGUCUUUUGUAUGUAAUGAUCUAAGAGAGUUUAAAGGGCCUUUAGCUAAAUUCCUGUUUUUUCUGUCCUUCAAUGCGCGCGAGGUCAAGACAGGCUGUGAAGCGAUACAAAAAGUUGUUGGCAGAGUUAUUUUCCCGUAAUCAGGAUGCUAAACCAAUUGAUAGAAAAAUUGGUAAGCUUUGUGAAUAUGCUUCGAAAAACCCAUUACGAAUUCCCAAGGUUCCAGUUAAGCACCUUGUCUUUAUGGUACAUGGCAUUGGUAAGAGGUUGGAGAAAUCUAAUUUGGUUG